UGGUCUUAUUCGCCUCUUGUGACACAGC
rnacentral:piRNA from 1 species